UAUAUUUAAAGAACGGGGCCCUGUUUCUUGUGUAGCAUUUCAUAAGCAAGCUAGCCUGACUAAUUGUGUUUGCAUACUUUCACAUAUAAGCUGUUGGCCUCAAACAGCACACCGAGCAGGUAGAGGAGCUUUUCUGUCCAGCUUUUGGCAGCUCGGUUACCAAAUACUAAAAGGAUUACUCUCAACUGAGACACCAGAGAUCACGGCUUCACUUCACUACGCCACUAUUUACCGCCACGGAUCCAGAGAUGUUCUGCCCGACAUCCUGAGCUUGCCGUCAGCCUCGAGGCGGCACUUUACAGACUCUGUCUAACGGAGUGAGAGAGCCAGAGCCAGGGCAUUAUAAAACAAAAGAUUGGACAGGAUUCAAUAGAUUCCAAUAUCAGAGAUGAAAGGCGGGGUAUCAGCCUCUCUCCUCUUUUUCCAAAGCCAGUCAGUUGCAGACCCAAGCAGUGAGAGGGAUUAUCCCUCUAUUUCUAUUAGUCACACGCUCAUAAGCCAUGUAUCACUCUGAAGCUUUGUGUCAGCAACUCCACACCCGAAGUGGAGGGACUUCUCAUUAUUGGCGGAUUGAGAGGUUUUAGCUUACACAGGGACAGCAAUAUUCUGAAAGUCAAGUCGUGUUUGAAGCAAGGCAAAUGCAUUUCACAGAUUACGACAUGGCGUAAUAUGUUUUAACUUUCAUUGCUUCUAUGACUCCUUAAUUGGUAUAUUAGUUAAACUUAG